AUGACAGGAAAAAAUAGGAGAGAAAAAAACCCUGAGAGAAGCAAAAGUAACUUUCAAGAUUUAGUUACCGAAGCCCUACCCAAUGGUAUAUUCCACGUUCGGCUAGAGAAUGACACCGUCAUUCUAGGCUAUAUUUCAGAGAAAAUCCGGUCUAGUUCUAUAUUAAUAUUGAUGGGGUGUCGUAUAUUCUUCGAGGACACGGGAAUAGUCUCUGAUGCGCAAGUUUUGGCGUGGCUCCCAUCUGAUGUUCUGGUCAAAUAUAUUGUGCUAGUAGGCAGUUACUGCUGA
rnacentral:rRNA from 1 species